CAUGCAAGUCGAACGGUGAAGCAGAGCUUGCUCUGUGGAUCAGUGGCGAAAGGGUGAGUAACACGUGAGCAACCUGCCCCUGUGUCCGGAAUAGCCUCUGGAAACGGAGAAUAAUACCGGAUGUGGAUUGAGAUCGCAUGGUCUCUUAUCUAAAGAUUUAUCGCACAGGGAUGGGCUCGCGUCCCAUUAGCUUGUUGGUGAGGUAACGGCUCACCAAGGCUUUGACGGGUAGGUGGUCUGAGAGGAUGGUCACCCACACUGGGACUGAGACACUGCCCAGACUCCUACGGGAGGCUGCAGUCGAGAAUCUUCCGCAAUGGGCGAAAGCCUGACGGAGCGAUGCCGCGUGAGGGAUGAAGGCCUUCGGGUUGUAAACCUCUGUCAGAAGGGACGAAAAAUGACGGUACCUUC
rnacentral:rRNA from 1 species